UAUAGAUGUGUACUCGGAGAGC
rnacentral:piRNA from 1 species